rnacentral:rRNA from 1 species
AAAUGAAUUGACGGGGGCCCGCACAAGCAGCGGAGCAUGUGGUUUAAUUCGAAGCAACGCGAAGAACCUUACCUAGACUUGACAUCUCCUGCAUAUCUUAGAGAUAAGAGAAGCCCUUCGGGGCAGGAAGACAGGUGGUGCAUGGUUGUCGUCAGCUCGUGUCGUGAGAUGUUGGGUUAAGUCCCGUAACGAGCGCAACCCCUAUUGUUAGUUGCUACCAUUAAGUUGAGCACUCUAAUGAGACUGUCCGGGUUAACCGGGAGGAAGGUGGGGAUGACGUCAAAUCAUCAUGCCCCUUAUGUCUAGGGCUACACACGUGCUACAAUGGUGAACACAACGAGAAGCGAAACCGCAAGGUGGAGCAAAACUUAAAAAAGUCAUUUUAGUUCGGAUUGUAGGCUGCAACUCGCCUACAUGAAGCUGGAGUUGCUAGUAAUCGCGAAUCAGAAUGUCGCGGUGAAUACGUUCCCGGGCCUUGUACACACCGCCCGU